GGCAAGCAGUGGCAGGCUCAUCACUGGGCAGGAAGGGAGGAGGGCAAAAUGAAAAAAACAUCUCUUGCACACAGUCGUCCAGCGUUAUUACUGGGAGAUGAUACGCAAGGACCAGGAUCUUGAACCCCCUAAGCGCUUUGAUUCUGCCUAAAUAACUCGAAAACCCACAAGAAGAGAGUUAGGAAGGGGAGCUAUCUCCCUCUCUUUUCUUCUGCUAUGAUCUUCCGCCUCCGACGUUUGACCCCGGGAUACUUCCGACUGUUGCAGAUGCAGCUGGCCAGUGGGUCCGAAUCAGAGUCUGAAGAUCGGCUGGUGAAUCACUUGGCCCUGAUCUUAGCAAUUAUGGGACUGAGCAUUUCCUACUACAGUGUCCGGCAGCUGUCUGAAGAGAUCAAGCCUCCUCCAG